rnacentral:rRNA from 1 species
AGCCAUAAGAUAAGAUUUAUGGUUAAACCUGCCCAAUGUUUAUAAAUUAAUGGCCGCGGUACCCUGACCGUGCUAAGGUAGCGUAAUUAGUUGGCUUUUAAAUGGAGUCAGGAAUGAAUGGGAUAACCGGGAUUAGCUGUCUCUUUGCUAUUUAAUCGAAUUUACUGAUCAAGUGAAAAAGCUUGAAAAAUGAAAAGGGACGAGAAGACCCUUAGAAUUUCACUUAAUAUAAGUAUAGUAUGCUUUGUUUUAGUUUUGUUGGGGUGACAGAGAAAUAUUUUCUAACUUUCUUUAACUAUACUUGCCGAGUUUACUAAGUAAGGAUAAAUUACCUGAGGGAUAACAGCAUAAUUCUAUAGAUGAGUUUGUGACCUCGAUGUUGGACUAGGAAACUAACAAGCUAGCCGUUUGUUGUGUUGGUUCUGUUCGAACUUUAAUUCCUACAUGAUCUGAGUUCAGA